rnacentral:rRNA from 1 species
ACGGGAGGCAGCAGUGGGGAAUAUUGGGCAAUGGGCGAAAGCCUGACCCAGCAACGCCGCGUGGAGGAAGAAGGUCUUCGGAUUGUAAACUUCUUUUAUGAGGGACGAAGGACGUGACGGUACCUCAUGAAUAAGCCACGGCUAACUACGUGCCAGCAGCCGCGGUAAUACGUAGGUGGCAAGCGUUAUCCGGAUUUACUGGGUGUAAAGGGCGCGUAGGCGGGGAUGCAAGUCAGAUGUGAAAUCUAUGGGCUUAACUCAUAAACUGCAUUUGAAACUGUGUCUCUUGAGUGUCGGAGAGGUAGAUGGAAUUCCUUGUGUAGCGGUGAAAUGCGUAGAUAUAAGGAAGAACACCAGUGGCGAAAGCGAUCUACUGGACGAUAACUGACGCUGAGGCGCGAAAGCGUGGGGAGCAAACAGGAUUAGAUACGCUGGUA